GUUUAUGGCCAUACCACCCUGAACGUGCCCGAUCUCAUCUAUCUCAGAAGUUAAGCAGGGUCAGGCCUCAUUAUUACUUGGACGGGAGACUAUACAUAUAAAUACUCAGAAUCCAAAACCU
ensembl:rRNA 5S_rRNA 5S ribosomal RNA